UACGUAGGGUGCGAGCGUUGUCCGGAAUUACUGGGCGUAAAGAGCUCGUAGGUGGUUUGUCGCGUUGUUCGUGAAAACUCACAGCUCAACUGUGGGCGUGCGGGCGAUACGGGCAGACUGGAGUACUGCAGGGGAGACUGGAAUUCCUGGUGUAGCGGUGGAAUGCGCAGAUAUCAGGAGGAACACCGGUGGCGAAGGCGGGUCUCUGGGCCAUUACUGACGCUGAGGAGCGAAAGCGUGGGGAGCGAACAGG
rnacentral:rRNA from 1 species